UACGUAGGGUGCAAGCGUUUGUCCGGAAUUAUUGGGCGUAAAGAGCUCGUAGGCGGUUUGUUGCGUCGGCUGUGAAAUCCCCGAGGCUCAACCUCGGGUCUGCAGUCGAUACGAGCAAACUAGAGUGUUGCAGGGGGAGACUGGAAUUCCUGGUGUAGCGGUGAAAUGCGCAGAUAUCAGGAGGAACACCGGGUGGCGAAGGCGGGUCUCUGGGCAACAACUGACGCUGGAGGAGCG
rnacentral:rRNA from 1 species